AUGCGCACAGACUGCACCCGCCGCGGGGACACCGCAGCCGCCAUGGCCGCCAUUGAUGCGGUCGUCUCCGGCCCAGACACGGCGCCCGACAUCUGCCUCGCCACGCACCAGUAUGAACAGCUCCUCCACCUGCUCGCCUCCGCAGACGCAUGCCGCGUUGCCCGUCCACCCGGCGGACGUUGCGUGCCGCGUGUUCGCCCCCAUGCUGGAGGCCGGGGCGCCCCCAUUCGAGGCCACCAUCACCUCGCUCGAGGCUGGCAAGGCCUAAGCGGUCGAGGCCCUCAUGGUGGCCUCCGCUGUAUCGCCGAAGAACCCGAGCUUGCCGCGCUCCUUGAGGUCAGCGCAAAGGUCAGGGACGAAGACAAGGUGUAUGAGUAUAUGCACAAGCUGCGGCGAGCUGUCGGCUGUGCGAUAGAGGAGACCGCCAAGGUCUUGGAGGGGCAGUUUCAGAGCGAGAAGGUGGCAACUGCUCGUAAGGCUGAGUGGGAUGUGUGUCAGGUUAAGUACGCCCUUGUGGCGAACGGCGGUGUGUGCCAUCAGCUGGGGUGGCUUUGGACUUUGGAGCAGACCAUGGAUGAUGCAGUGGACUCUCAACAAGGCUGGGGUGAAUAUGCUACAGCUAUGUGCUGGACAGUGCCGCCACCGCCGAAUUCACUGGAAGAUCAUCCGCCGUCCGAACGUGCUCCACCUGAGAUACACCAGAUGGUCCAGAUAUCACAAAAGAUAGUGGAGGAAGCGUAG
rnacentral:rRNA from 1 species